rnacentral:rRNA from 1 species
CAGCAUGAGUUAUGUCAUGUUAUCGAUAUGUGAAUACAUAGCAUAUCAGAAGGCACACCCGGAGAACUGAAACAUCUUAGUACCCGGAGGAAGAGAAAGAAAAUUCGAUUCCCUUAGUAGCGGCGAGCGAAACGGGAAGAGCCCAAACCAACAAGCUUGCUUGUUGGGGUUGUAGGACACUCUAUACGGAGUUACAAAGGACGACAUUAGACGAAUCAUCUGGAAAGAUGAAUCAAAGAAGGUAAUAAUCCUGUAGUCGAAAAUGUUGUCUCUCUUGAGUGGAUCCUGAGUACGACGGAGCACGUGAAAUUCCGUCGGAAUCUGGGAGGACCAUCUCCUAAGGCUAAAUACUCUCUAGUGACCGAUAGUGAACCAGUACCGUGAGGGAAAGGUGAAAAGCACCCCGGAAGGGGAGUGAAAUAGAACCUGAAACCGUGUGCUUACAAGUAGUCAGAGCCCGUUAAUGGGUGAUGGCGUGCCUUUUGUAGAAUGAACCGGCGAGUUACGAUUUGAUGCAAGGUUAAGCAGUAAAUGUGGAGCCGUAGCGAAAGCGAGUCUGAAUAGGGCGUUUAGUAUUUGGUCGUAGACCCGAAACCAGGUGAUCUACCCUUGGUCAGGUUGAAGUUCAGGUAACACUGAAUGGAGGACCGAACCGACUUACGUUGAAAAGUGAGCGGAUGAACUGAGGGUAGCGGAGAAAUUCCAAUCGAACCUGGAGAUAGCUGGUUCUCUCCGAAAUAGCUUUAGGGCUAGCCUCAAGUGAUGAUUAUUGGAGGUAGAGCACUGUUUGGACGAGGGGCCCCUCUCGGGUUACCGAAUUCAGACAAACUCCGAAUGCCAAUUAAUUUAACUUGGGAGUCAGAACAUGGGUGAUAAGGUCCGUGUUCGAAAGGGAAACAGCCCAGACCACCAGC